rnacentral:lncRNA from 1 species
CUCUGGAAUCUCCCUUCCUGGUCUCAGGAUGGCAGCCAAGGUCUCAGGCAUCACUGAUGGGUCUGACUGAAAGGAGGGACUGUUCAUUCCUCUGCUUCACUCUUUAAAAAAAAAUAGGAGCAUUUCUCAGGUGCCUCCAAGCAGCCUCAUGUGUCCCCCUUCGGCUGGAAUCAUUUCACACUCUACUUCCUCAACCUGUCCCUGGUGAUUAAAAUGAGAUUCCUAUGACUGGCUUAGGGAAGCACAUGACUCCGGAGAGGGGGCUGAGCAUUAAUCCAGUAACAUUAAGAUUCCUUUAGAAAGGAGUUGGCUGUUUGCAGAGAUUUCUUUUCUUUUCUUUUCUUUUCUUUCUUUUUUGAGACAGCGUCUAGCUCUGUUGCCUGGGCUGGAGUGCAGUGGUGUGAUCUCAGCUCACUGCCCCCUCCGCCUCCUGGGCUCAAGGGAUUCUCCUUCCUCAGCCUCCCGAGUAGCUGGGAUUAUAGGCGCCCGCCACCACGCCCAGCUAAUUUUUGUAUUUUUAGUAGACACGGGGUUUUGCCAUGUUGGCCAGGCUGAUCUCCAACUCCUGACCUCAGGUGAUCCACCCACCUCAGCCUCCCAAUAUGUUGGGGUUACAGGCGUGAGCCACCCCACACAGCCACAGUGAUUUUAGGUGGGUUCCUUCAGGAGCUGUGAGGAGAGAUGAGAGAAGGCUUCAUGCAGGUGGUAGCUGAGCUGGUCCCUGAAUAAUGAGCCUAAUGCAGAUGAAAGGUCCUGGGAGAACUAUUUAGUGAUGUUGCUGAAUAUGAUGAAGAACACCAGGAGGGGCCGCUCGUAGAGCACAGGCGAGAACAGACUAUGCUGUGGGGGUGAACCCCUGACCUUGGAGUCUUCAGGCGGCUCACACUCUCACGCAGUGCAAGACAGGAAGUCCUGCUUAUGGCUGCGCUGUAUAGAGCAUGUGGUCUCCACAAUCAUCACAGCAGAAUGUGAGUGUGGUCAGCUCGCGAUGGCCCCCAGGGAUGUUGUCCUCUAAGUCCUGGAACCUGCAGACAGGUUACCUUACAUGGAAAAAAAAAAGGGGGGCUUUGCAGGUGUGAUUGGGUUAAUGGACAAUGUUGGUGAGAUUAUCCUGCAUUAUCCAAGGCAAGGGACGCGGGAGGACCUAGUCACAAGGGAACUCACACAUGGGAGGCAGAGAGAUGAACGGCACAGCAGAGAGUCAGAGAGGAGAUGGAGCGUGGAAGCAGAGGUGGCAUGAGCCCGGGAAUGCCGGCAGCUGCUAGAAGCUGGAAGAGGGAAUGACAGAGCCUCCUCUGGAACCUCCAGGAGAAACCAGCCCUGCUGACAUCAUGGCUUUUGUCCUGUGCGUUAGUUUCCUAGGGCUGCCAGAACAAAUUAUCACAAACUGAGCGGCUUAAAUGACAGAAGUCCGUGGCCUCAUGGUUCCAGAGGCCAGAAGCCCAAAAUCAAGGCUUCGCUGAGGCGUGAUCCAGCUUCUCAGCAUCUUCCCUUUCCCCACUCAGGAUAGCUGGAAACGGUCGCUCCUCCUCCUAAACAGGGAAGAAAUGCAGAGAAAGCUCCAAGCAGAGGGAAAUCCCACCCAAAAGGAAAUGUGUGAUUCAGACCCACGAAGUGGCGAGGGCUGUGUUGACACUUGGUGCCUCAGUUUCCCCUCUGAAAAUGUGUAUUAUAAUAACAGGCUGUAUCUCAUGGGGUUGACAGGAGGAUUCAGUGAGUUAGCCCAUGGUAAAGGGUUUAGUGCCUGGUGAGCAUCCAACAAGCAAGUGCUUUGAUCGUCUGCAUAGGGAUGUUAUUUGGAGCAUCCCUGUGUGGCCAGUGCUGGGCUGGGCACUGCGGGGACAGACGUGAGCAGAGCCAGACUCUGCCCUCAGGCUUCUCGCCCUCCAGGUUAGGGGAGGAGGUAGAACCACCACCGCACCUCCACACGAGCUGCCCAUGCCUGGCUUGAGGCUCAGCCAGGGCUUAUCCUGGAGAGUUCUGUAGAAAUGAACCCCAGGCCGGGAGGGAUGUCUCACGCCUGUAAUCCCUGCACUUUGGAAGGCUGAGGCAGGCAGAUCACCUGAGGUCAGGAGUUCGAGACCAGCCUGGGCAACAUCGUGAAACCUUGUCUCUACC